ensembl:snRNA U1 U1 spliceosomal RNA
AUACUUACCUGGCAGGGGAGAUACCAUGAUCAUGAAGGUGGUUUUCCCAGGGCGAGGCUUAUCCAUUGCACUCCGGAUGUGCUGACCCCUGCGAUUUCCCCAAAUGUGGGAAACUCGACUGCAUAAUUUGUGGUAGUGGGGGACUGCGUUCGCGCUCUCCCCUG